GGCCCCGUAGUUAAAUGGAUAUAACCAGCGUUUCCUAAACGUUAAUUCCAAGUUCGAUUCUUGGCGGGGCUA
rnacentral:tRNA from 2 species